rnacentral:rRNA from 1 species
UACGUAGGGUCCGAGCGUUGUCCGGAAUUACUGGGCGUAAAGAGCUCGUAGGUGGUUUGUCGCGUUGUUCGUGAAAACUCACAGCUCAACUGUGGGCGUGCGGGCGAUACGGGCAGACUGGAGUACUGCAGGGGAGACUGGAAUUCCUGGUGUAGCGGUGGAAUGCGCAGAUAUCAGGAGGAACACCGGUGGCGAAGGCGGGUCUCUGGGCCGAUACUGACGCUGAGGAGCGAAAGCUAGGGGAGCAAACGGG